UACGGAGGGUGCAAGCGUUAUCCGGAUUUACUGGGUUUAAAGGGUGUGUAGGCGGAUUUUUAAGUCAGAGGUGAAAUCUCCAGGCUCAACCUGGAAACUGCCCCUGAUACUAUUAGUCUUGAAUAUUGAUGAGGUGGGCGGAACGGGUCAUGUAGCGGUGAAAUGCUUAGAUAUGACAUAGAACACCAAUUGCGAAGGCAGCUCACUACACAAUUAUUGACGCUGAGGCACGAAAGCGUGGGGAUCGAACAGG
rnacentral:rRNA from 1 species